GAUGAACGCUGGCGGCGUGCUUAACACAUGCAAGUCGAACGAUGAACCGGGUGCUUGCACUCGGGGAUUAGUGGCGAACGGGUGAGUAACACGUGAGCAACCUGCCCCUGACUCUGGGAUAAGCGCUGGAAACGGCGUCUAAUACUGGAUAUGUCCCGUCACCGCAUGGUGUGCGGGUGGCAAGGUUUUUCGGUUGGGGAUGGGCUCGCGCCUAUCAGAUUGUUGGUGAGGUAAUGGCUCACCAAGGCGUCGACGGGUAGCCGGCCUGGGAGGGUGACCGGCCACACUGGGACUGAGACACGGCCCAGACUCCUACGGGAGGCAGCAGUGGGGAAUAUUGCGCAAUGGGCGGAAGCCUGAUGCAGCAACGCCGCGUGAGGGAUGACGGCCUUCGGGUUGUAAACCUCUUUUAGCAGGGAAGAAGCGAGAGUGACGGUACCUGCAGAAAAAGCACCGGCUAACUACGUGCCAGCCGCCGCGGUAA
rnacentral:rRNA from 1 species